rnacentral:rRNA from 1 species
GACGGAGGGUGCAAGCGUUGUUCGGAAUUACUGGGCGUAAAGGGCGCGUAGGCGGCCGCCUAAGUCAGACGUGAAAUCCCUCGGCUCAACCGGGGAACUGCGUCUGAUACUGGGCGGCUUGAAUCCGGGAGAGGGAUGCGGAAUUCCAGGUGUAGCGGUGAAAUGCGUAGAUAUCUGGAGGAACACCGGUGGCGAAGGCGGCAUCCUGGACCGGUAUUGACGCUGAGGCGCGAAAGCCAGGGGAGCAAACGGG